rnacentral:rRNA from 1 species
UGGGGAAUAUUGCACAAUGGAGGGAACUCUGAUGCAGCGACGCCGCGUGAGUGAUGAAGGACUUCGUUUCGUAAAACUCUGUUCUAUGGGAAGAAAAGGACUGUACCAUAGGAGAAAGCUCCGGCUAAAUCCGUGCCAGCAGCCGCGGUAAGACGUAUGGAGCGAGCGUUGUCCGGGAUUGUUGGGCGUAAAGGGUGCGCAGGCGGCUUUACAAGUUGGAUGUGAAAUAUUGUGGCUCAACCACAAACGUGCAUCCAAAACUGCAAAGCUGGAGGUAAGGAGAGGUAAGUGGAAUACCGGGUGUAGCUGUGGAAUGCGUAGAUAUCAGGAGGAAUACCGGUGGGUAAGACGACUUACUGGACUUAAACUGACGCUCACGCACGAAAGCGUGGGGAGCAAACAGG